rnacentral:rRNA from 1 species
AGUGAACGCUGGCGGUAGGCCUAACACAUGCAAGUCGAACGGCAGCACAGUAAGAGCUUGCUCUUACGGGUGGCGAGUGGCGGACGGGUGAGGAAUACAUCGUAAUCUACUUUUUCGUGGGGGAUAACGUAGGGAAACUUACGCUAAUACCGCAUACGACCUACGGGUGAAAGCAGGGGAUCUUCGGACCUUGCGCGAUUGAAUGAGCCGAUGUCGGAUUAGCUAGUUGGCGGGGUAAAUGCCCACCAAGGCGACGAUCCGUAGCUGGUCUGAGAGGAGGAUCAGCCACACUGGAACUGAGACACGGUCCAGACUCCUACGGGAGGCAGCAGUGGGGAAUAUUGGACAAUGGGCGCAAGCAUGAUCCAGCCAUACCGCGUGGGUGAAGAAGGCCUUCGGUUUGUAAAGCCCUUUUGUUGGGAAAGAAAAGCAGCAGGUUAAUACCCCGCUGUUCUGACGGUACCCAAAGAAUAAGCACCGGCUAACUUCGUG